GACGAACGCUGGCGGCGUGCUUAACACAUGCAAGUCGAACGGAAAGGCCCUUCUUUUGUGGGGUGCUCGAGUGGCGAACGGGUGAGUAACACGUGAGUAACCUGCCCUUGACUUUGGGAUAACUUCAGGAAACUGGGGCUAAUACCGGAUAGGAGCUCCUGCUGCAUGGUGGGGGUUGGAAAGUUUCGGCGGUUGGGGAUGGACUCGCGGCUUAUCAGCUUGUUGGUGGGGUAGUGGCCUACCAAGGCUUUGACGGGUAGCCGGCCUGAGAGGGUGACCGGCCACAUUGGGACUGAGAUACGGCCCAGACUCCUACGGGAGGCAGCAGUGGGGAAUAUUGCACAAUGGGCGGAAGCCUGAUGCAGCAACGCCGCGUGCGGGAUGACGGCCUUCGGUUUGUAAACCGCUUUCGCCUGUGACGAAGCGUGAGUGACGGUAAUGGGUAAAGAAGCACCGGCUAACUACGUG
rnacentral:rRNA from 1 species